rnacentral:rRNA from 1 species
ACCUUCGGGCCUCACACCAUCGGAUGUGCCCAGAUGGGAUUAGCUAGUAGGUGGGGUAACGGCUCACCUAGGCGACGAUCCCUAGCUGGUCUGAGAGGAUGACCAGCCACACUGGAACUGAGACACGGUCCAGACUCCUACGGGAGACAGCAGUGGGGAAUAUUGCACAAUGGGCGCAAGCCUGAUGCAGCCAUGCCGCGUGUAUGAAGAAGGCCUUCGGGUUGUAAAGUACUUUCAGUGGGGAGGAAGGCGAAGAGGUUAAUAGCUUCUUCGAUUGACGUUACCCGCAGAAGAAGCACCGGCUAACUCCGUGCCAGCAGCCGCGGUAAUACGGAGGGUGCAAGCGUUAAUCGGAAUUACUGGGCGUAAAGCGCACGCAGGCGGUCUGUCAAGUCGGAUGUGAAAUCCCCGGGCUCAACCUGGGAACUGCAUUCGAAACUGGCAGGCUAGAGUCUUGUAGA